ACCCUUACAUGCCUUCACUCCCUGUUAGUAACCAAUCCACUCUCCAUCCCUUCCUUCCCUUCUCCUUGUUUGUCUCGGCUUCCCGUCAUUUUCUUCCUAGCAAUAUCAAUCUCUCACAGCACACUACCUCUCCCUAUCUUCCUCUUUCAGCUCCUCUCCUAUUACCCUCCUAUACUCAUUCUGCCUCUAACCGUUCCCCUCUCUAUACCUUUCUUG
rnacentral:lncRNA from 1 species